UUUUUUUGAUAAAAUAACAUCCUCCAUAAAAUUGGGGGAUGAAGGGGAUUGACAAUUUUUCCAGGAAGGGAGUAAACUUGUACUUGUACUUUCUUUACGUUAGAAGCUCAACAAUGGCAGAUGGAGGAGCCAUAGAAAUGUUUCUAGAUUUCUCCGAUAAUAUUGAUGUCAACGACACUUCAGAAAGAUCAAGGUCCCGGGUACCAACUGCAAUGACCCGCUGAAUGUGGAUGGACCAUCUAAAGGAUCAAACCAUGUGGAAGGAUGAAAUCAUUUCAAAUUGCAAUGGUGAAGCAUCAAUCAACAUUGCUUGGUAGAGUUUAGCCUAAUCAGCUGCCAAAUGAUGCUGUGGGUUCUGUGUGAAACAUUUCUGCCUUUCACUGGCUCACCUAGUCUUCUCUAGCAAAGUUCUAAUGGAGCUGGAAAACCUGUUAUAGUGUACUUAUCUUUAAGAUUCCAUAUCUCCAGCUACUGUCACAACUCACUAAGCAUUCACAUACUUCUUCGUGGGUGUUGUCCAUAAAAGUUCUUGCAGUGGUGUUAAAAUCUUAAUCUCGGGCUUGGAGACCAGAUGAUCAUAGUCAUCAUACUAUAUACAAAGCAUAACAAGUUUCUGUUUCAUAUUAGAGAGGUGUGAAAACAUCUUUGCAUCAGCAUUCAGCAGUGAAAACAUCUUUGCAUCAGCAUUCAGCAGUGAAUGUAGCUGGUUUGUAUAAAGGUAAAACCGAGGCAUGGGCUCCAAGAACAGAUUCAAUUGUUAUUUAUAUAUGAGAUGUGAAGUGUAAGCGUUUUUUUGGUUGAGGUUGUUCUACAUUUUAAUGACAGAUACCUAGUCAGAUCAUAAUUUGGGUUUACACGAGAGGCAUUGAACGUGGAGAUGUAAUAAAACUGGUUUUCUCUGCCUUUCCUUGGAGCUUGAACAAGGCCAGACACUCAGCUUGGUUGGUUGUUCAUGCUGAUCCAAAGGAUGAACCGGCAUGCAUCUCUUGGUAACUCUUUAUCUUUGGAUGCAUUGUACUCUCUGUUGAUGGAUUUUGUUAAUUUGUGCUCCAUAAGUAUUAACAACUGAGUAUAAUCUUGUUUUCUUGCA